UACGUAGGGGGCGAGCGUUGUCCGGAUUCAUUGGGCGUAAAGAGCUCGUAGGCGGCUUGGCAAGUCGGAUGUGAAAACUCCAGGCUCAACCUGGAGCCGCCAUUCGAUACUGCUAUGGCUAGAGUCCGGUAGGGGAGUGUGGAAUUCCCGGUGUAGCGGUGAAAUGCGCAGAUAUCAGGAGGAACACCGGUGGCGAAGGCGGGUCUCUGGGCCGUAACUGACGCUGAGGAGCGAAAGCAUGGGGAGCGAACAGG
rnacentral:rRNA from 1 species